AUAAAGGUGACAGAAAAAUGUAUUAGGUUUAGGACCUAAAUAUAAAGAUAUUAAUUCUUUCCUUUAUA
rnacentral:tRNA from 1 species